rnacentral:misc_RNA from 1 species
UUGGUGUCUACCUGGUGUUCCUGAUACUUGGAAUCAACUUCUAUAUGCACUUCUCCUUCAAUUUUAUAACUAAACUAUAGCCACCUACCUCACUUUUAAGUUUACCCCAUCCCAUCAUAUUAUUAUUAUUGAGAAAGAAAAGUAUUAUAGUUAUUUGAUGCAUAAAUUAAUUUCUCCAAAUUAUUUAAAAAAAAAUAUUAAUCUUUUAUAUUUUGAUGUUAUCUUAUUCUUAUAAUCAAUAAAUACAAUUUAAU